UUUUCGAUACAAAUAAACAAAAAUCUUGGAAAUCUUGCACAUAGACCAUGCCCGGAGUUAAGAAGCAGUAGCCAAAAAUCGUCAUGUCUAAAUGUUAGCUUGCUGGUGGAGUUAAGCAAACAUAUAUCAUUAGCUGUAUAUAUCCUGCUAUAAAUUUUGAGUGUACCUACACACUUGUUACUAAAAACUGUCAGAGUGUCGAGUCUGUCAUAUCAGUCAUCACAGUGACAUGUAUAGUUGCUACUACUCUCUAGCCUAGACUAGGUCGAUAUGCACAAUGUUGGGAAGAUCAGUCAGAAAGCGAAAAGUGCGACCUUGCUCUGCCACAGAAUACCACCAGGGUUGUAACAGUUGGACCAGAGACAUAGACAACAAUGACACACCAGUUUUUACAAAUAGGUCACCAGACUGAACUGGAUUCACGACUCAUCACGCCACUAACUCAACUCCUUUAGGUCACAUACAUUUGUACAUUGGAUCAUCAUCAGACGUCAUUUAUGCAAACCCCCAGAGCUCUGCAUUAGUAUGUUCCAGUUCACAGUUGAUAAUUUACCAGGUAAUCAUCAGAUUUACAAAAGCAGUAUAUUACUUUUAAGUUAAACCCCUACAUGUACAUGUGAUUCUAACUAUAACAAACAUAUGUAUAAACAUUAAGGCAACUUUUAUUUUUUUUUUUUCCAAUCGUAUGGUUUAGAUUUAAAAGAUUUGUGUAAUGAUUAUAUCUCAGUUUCUAAACUUAAAUCCACAAAAUAUUGCUGAAUGUGUUAUUUUUACAAUUUAUAGGGGAUGCCACAUCAUGCGUUAGAAAUAAAAAACAAUUCUUAAAUAUAAGGUUACAAUUAUAUAUUAUUAUAAAUAUAUUACAUGUGAAACUUUUAAAUGUUGUUUUGUAUAUUAUCAUAUGAUUUGUGACAUAUGAUUUGUAAUGGAGAACACUAUUGACUAUUAUAAUAUUAUUUAUCUUGAUACAUAAUCUGAAUAUUACAAAUCGAUAUGCAUGUACUGCAUGAAUACAGAUGUUGCAAUAAAGUACCACAAUUAUAAAGGACAAAAUUUAUAGAAGUGUAUAUUUAUUGACCACUAUUUUAGGACAGACUGCAAAUAUUUCUGUUUGCCCAAACCCUACCAACCAGCCUUAGGUGUGUGGGAAAUUUUCAUUAUUUUUAAUUUAAUUUUUUUUAUAUAUUUAAGGGAAAAUAGGGGCCAAAAUGGUUUUAUCUUGUAAACAUUUUUAAAAUGAGACUAUUACAGAGUUUUGUGUAAAUUGUCAGACGCAGAUAAGCGAGGAUAUAUACAUGUAUGUACAUGUAAUAUUAGCACAAGCUAGUACUAAUUAAGUAAUUAUUUACAGCUUGUCUUGCAGUCUGCUCCAAACCAGUUAAAAAUCUUUAGUAUUUAGGUGUCGACAACAGCUUUAAUUUAUAUAUAUACUAGAAUUUAUUGAAAUCUUCAUCCUGGAAGAUUCUAGGAGUUGCUCAAAUAGAUGAGUAUCUUAGGCUGUACAUUUAGGUGCCAAGCUUUGUUAAUUUUAGGCUGGAAGCAUUAUGACAACAAUUUCAUUUGCAUAAAACCAUUGGCCCUACUGGUUGCUUGGCUACUGGUGAUUCAAAAUUAUGGUUGAUAUUUAUUAAUGAAAAUUAUAGUACAGGUUGAAUUUCAGUUAGCAUGAACACUGGGACUAAUUUGAAAUGUUAUGCUUUUAAUUAUGAGGGUACCUAGAUGUUGUUAAGCAGUUUUUUUUUUUUUUUUUUUUUUUUUUUUUUUUUUUUUU